ensembl:lncRNA
AAUUAAAUGAGUAUGAGUAUACAUAUACACAUUAACAUAACUUUCAUUACAGUAUAUUUUUUAAGUUUGUUUGCUUGUUUGUUUUUGCUUUUUUUGAAUUCAGGCUGACCUUGAGUUCACUAUGUAGUCCAGGCUGGCCUCAAACUUGUGAUCCUUCUGCCUCAGCCUCCUGAGUGCUGGGAUAACUGGUGUGUGCCUCCCACCUCAUUAUAGUAUAUUGCUAUAACUGUCCUAUUUUAUUACUUAUUACUAUGGUUAAUCUCUUACUACUUUAUAAAUAGAAUUUUAUCAUAGGUAUUGUCUGUAUAGGAAAAACACAGUAUCUAUAAAGUUCAGUACUACCCAAGGCUUCAGGCAUCCAUUGGUGAUUUUGGGACACAUCCCCCAUGGGUAAGGGGCUACUGUACUCACAUCUACGUGGUGCACAUAUGGCAAUUAUGAUAACAAUCAUCAUUUCUAUGGAUUUAGUCUAAGAAAAGAGUUUAUCAACCCUAUGGGAGGCCCCAUGAAGGCCAUGAAAGACAUCAGUGGAGACUUAGAGCCCUUCUAUCUUCUCUUCCAAAACAGCGGGGCCCUCGGGGCUUACUUGGCGUGGCAGGUACAGCAUCAUUGGAAUGUGCACAGCGGCCCAGCCUGGCAUCCCUCUCAGAGCACCUGUGGGUACAGGAAACUGAACAUGAAGAACAUCCCUCCCUGCUCUAGGGAAGGGCAGGAGGCUAUGAAAAGCAGUUUGGGGAGCAAGCUGGAAAUCUGCAGAGGGAAUACUAAAGACAUCAAUACUGUGCUCCCUUUCUUCUUUCUCUUUCCCUCAUACCAAGGAUUGAACCCAGGGUGCACUGAGCUACAUCCCCAGACCUUUUCUUUCUUUUUUUUGGGUACUGGGGAUCAAACUCCGGUCCUUCUGCUUGCGAGGGAGGCAGCGGAACCACUGAGCUAAAUCCCCGGCCCUCCAGCCCUUUUCUUUUCUUGUCUUCUCCUCUCUUCUUUUCUUUUCUUUAGACAGGGUCUUGAUAAGCUAAGUUGCUCAGGCUGGGCUCAAACUAGUGAUCCUCUUGCCUCAGCCUCCCAGAGUGCUGGGAUUACAGGCAUGCACCACCAUGCCCAGCUUUAAUACUAGGCUUUCUGAAAUAACCAGGAGAAGUAGGAAGCAGCCAAUAGCCAAGUAAAUCUGAUUGGCUAAGGAUUAUCACAAGGUCCAACUAUCACGAGGCAAAAAAAAAAAUGUUUUUCUUCCUUCACGCUUCCUCAAGGGAAUAUGCAAGACACCUGGACAGAGUGCUUGAAUAAGUAUCUCCAAAUGCUCAGAAGGCAACUUCAUUGGGGCAUAUUAUGAGCAGGCAGUUAAAGCCAUCUCCUAAAAGCCUGAAGAAAAAGCUACUUGCAAGAGCUAUGAGACCGAGCUGCACUGGCUCGUCACACAGAACUUGGACAAUAAGAAAAGGCCUGAGUAGGGCCCAUGGUUUUCUAAAUAAAGCCAGGGGCUUGGGGUGUAGCUCAGUGACACAGCACUUGCCUAGCAGGUGUGAGGCCCUGCAUCUGAUCCCCAGUACUGCAAAACAAUGAAACAAAACAAAUUUUUAAAGCCCAUAAAACAAAAACAAAACUCUAUUCAAUUAAUGAAAUAUAAUAUUUUCCACUGGCUUUGAGAACUCUUCUCUACUUGCUUAUUUAAAAUGGUGUUUGUGUGUAUGUAUGUGUGUGUGCUUGCACACGUGUGUUUGAUUGCUAGGGCCAUUACACCCCUUAGAAAAUCUUGCUCCAAGUCAUAAAGCUACAGCCUAGACCACUGGAGGACAGGUGCACAGACUAAACCUGUGAUGUGAGAACAGGUGUCCCAGAGACAGGAAGGAGGGAGAAUGCAUGUGGGAGACUCUUCCCAAGAGGUUUCUUUUGGAAGCUGUCCUGAAAGCCUCUCACUCUCAGAGAUAAAGAGGGAAUUGUUUGCCACAAUCCUCCAGCCUAAAGGGUGGGGCCCAGUGGUUAGUGAUGGGCUCUUCCUCCCCUCUGCCAGGAUUCACAAGCAGGGAUGAGCUUUCUGCUGGUGAGGUGGCGACUGGCAUCAAGGGGACCCCCAAUCCCAUACCGACCCUACUCACCUUCCUUCCACUUCCUCCAGGGCCGUACGGGUCCUGCUGGUAGAAGAGUGAAAGGUGGGGGGGCAGCGUGUUUCCGGAGCACUGGGGUAUUUUCACUCAUGCUGGUAGCCCUGGGAGCUGGGGGCACCAGACCAGGUACUGGAGAGAAAAGAGGAUUGGAGUGGGCCACGAGAGCCCGAACCUUUUCAUGUGGUCUAAGAGCAGUACCAGAGAACUUGGUGACGCAAUCUUUGAGGUGCCUUCAUCCCAGGCACCCUCAUUUAAUACUGUAAAUAGAAAGGAUGUGGAUUCACUGUGAAUAGUUGUGGGUGGGCCUACAAAGGUCAAAAAGAGAGAAUAAAGCAUUGAUGAACCCUACAGUGGUGCCCAGGAAUCAGGCAACUUGAAUUCCAUUUUGUUUUCUGAGACAGGGCCUUGCUAUGCACGUUCAGGCUGGCCUUGAAGUCACUAUUAGCCCAGGAUGGCCUCAAACUCUUGGUGAUCCUCCUGCCUCAGCCUCCCGAGUUGCUAGGAUUACAGGCAUGCGCCACAACACCCGGCAAGACUUGAAUUCUGUUCUAGGAAACACCAGAGCUCUGGCAAACCCAGAUCUGAGGGAUUCUGAACCCUAAACACCGCACUUUUGGUUACGCCUUCUGAAGGAGCACCCCACCGGGAAGGACAAAGUUGAGGCCACCAAUCCCCUGGCCUUCAAGGACCCUGCUGUUCUGGGGCCACACAGUCCCACUCACCCAGGGAGCAUGGCCUGCCAUCGGGCUCGCCAGGACAGGCACACCCGAAGUCCAAGGCUCUGGCAAAGCAGAGGUGGGUGCAGCCACCGCGUUGUUCACCCCACAGGCAUUGGUCCCUGGAAGCAAACCAGAUGAGCACCUGGGCCAGAACACAAUCAGAUCUCCCGAUUUAACACGACCCCACUUCCAGGGACAGCAGGGCAAGGAGCCACCCAGGACAGGGGGGAAAACGUGAGCCAACAGGCUCUCGGGUGGCCCCAGUGUCUUGGUCACCAGAUGUCCUCCGAGCGAGGUCAAGGAGGUGGGCUCAGAACCUGGGCCCACCUGUCUGCCGCUGAGGGGAGACCACGAUGAUGUCCAUGAGCCCCUCCACAUUGGCCAGCACCGUCUCCUUGCUGCGGCCCGAGUACUUGUCCACACGUUGGAUGGACUUAGUCUGCCAGUCUGUCCAGUAGAUCCACCUGUCCUGCUGCUCGGGGGGUCGCCAACAGGGGAAGUAGGAUUUGGCUGUCAGGCUCCAGGGCAGCCUCUGUGCCUGAGCAGGGCUAUCCCCUCUGCCCAAGGACAACCGUGUGUGCCUCGGAAAUGUCCCCAAACCCACACUCUUCACUGCCCCCACGGCAUGCCGAGCCGGACCUGGCAGUCAUUUCUGCACCUGAGUUUUCAUGUGCAAUGGGGACCUGGCUACAUGUCUGUCUGACUGUCCCUCCUGAUGGUGUUCUUCAAG